GACGAACGCUGGCGGCGUGCUUAACACAUGCAAGUCGAGCGGAAAGGCCCUGCUUUUGUGGGGUGCUCGAGUGGCGAACGGGUGAGUAACACGUGAGUAACCUGCCCUUGACUUUGGGAUAACUUCAGGAAACUGGGGCUCAUACCGGAUAGGAUCUCCUGCUGCAUGGUGGGGGUUGGAAAGUUUCGGCGGUUGGGGAUGGACUCGCGGCUUAUCAGCUUGUUGGUGGGGUAGUGGCUUACCAAGGCUUUGACGGGUAGCCGGCCUGAGAGGGUGACCGGCCACAUUGGGACUGAGAUACGGCCCAGACUCCUACGGGAGGCAGCAGUGGGGAAUAUUGCACAAUGGGCGGAAGCCUGAUGCAGCAACGCCGCGUGCGGGAUGACGGGCUUCGGGUUGUAAACCGAUUUCGACUGUGCCGAAGCGUGAGUGACGGUAAUGGGUAAAGAAGCACCGGCUAACUACGUG
rnacentral:rRNA from 1 species